rnacentral:rRNA from 1 species
UAGACUGCUAAUAACCGGACUGAGUGUCUUCGGACCAAAGAUUUAUCGCCCAGGGAUGAGCCCGCGUAGGAUUAGCUAGUUGGUGGGGUAAAGGCCUACCAAGGCGACGAUCCUUAGCUGGUCUGAGAGGAUGAUCAGCCACACUGGGACUGAGACACGGCCCAGACUCCUACGGGAGGCAGCAGUGGGGAAUAUUGGACAAUGGGCGAAAGCCUGAUCCAGCAAUGCCGCGUGAGUGAUGAAGGCCUUAGGGUUGUAAAGCUCUUUUACCCGGGAUGAUAAUGACAGUACCGGGAGAAUAAGCCCCGGCUAACUCCGUG